rnacentral:rRNA from 1 species
GCAAACCCGCUGAACUGAAACAUCUAAGUAGGCGGAGGAGAAGAAAACAAAAGUGAUUCCGUAAGUAGUGGCGAGCGAACGCGGAUUAGCCCAAACCAAUGUUGUUACGGCAAUGUUGGGGUUGUAGGACCACGAUAUUUAAUGCGGAUAGAAUUAGAAUCUACUGGAAAGUAGAGCCAAAGAAGGUGAUAGCCCUGUAUAAGUAAUAGAAGAUAUUAAUAGUGGUAUCCUGAGUAGGGCGGGACACGAGAAAUCCUGUCUGAAUUUGGCGGGACCAUCCGCUAAGGCUAAAUACUCCUGAGAGACCGAUAGUGAACCAGUACCGUGAGGGAAAGGUGAAAAGAACCGUGAAUAACGGAGUGAAAUAGAUCCUGAAACCAUACGCUUACAAGCGGUCGGAGCCCUUUCGUGGGGUGACGGCGUGCCUUUUGCAUAAUGAGCCUACGAGUUAACGUUGCUGGCAAGGAUAAGUGGUUAAGCCACGGAUCCGUAGCGAAAGCGAGUCUGAAUAGGGCGCUUUAGUCAGUAGUGUUAGACGCGAAACCGUGUGAUCUACCCAUGGACAGGUUGAAGCUGUGGUAACACAUAGUGGAGGACCGAACCCGUUGACGUUGAAAAGUCUUGGGAUGAUCUGUGGGUAGGGGUGAAAGGCCAAUCAAACUCGGAAAUAGCUCGUACUCCCCGAAAUGCAUUUAGGUGCAGCGUUAUGCUUAAAGUUAUAUAGAGGUAGAGCUACUGAUUGGAUGCGGGGGCUUCACCGCCUACCAAUUCCUGACAAACUCCGAAUGCUAUAUAAUGUUUCAUAACAGUGAGGGCUUGGGUGCUAAGGUCCAAGUCCGAGAGGGAAAGAACCCAGACCAUCAGCUAAGGUCCCCAAAUAUAUACUAAGUUGAAAGAACGAGGUUUGUCUGCAUAGACAGCUAGGAUGUUGGCUUGGAAGCAGCCAUUCAUUUAAAGAGUGCGUAACAGCUCACUAGUCGAGCGGACGAGCAUGGAUAAUAAUCGGGCAUAAGUAUAUUACCGAAGCUAUGGAUUUAGAGUUUACUCUAAGUGGUAGGGGAGCAUUCUCACAGGGUAGAAGGUGUAUCGUAAGGUAUGCUGGACCGGUGAGAAAAGAAAAUGUAGGCAUAAGUAACGAUAAUGCGGGCGAGAAACCCGCACACCGAAAGACUAAGGUUUCCACAGCUAUGCUAAUCAGCUGUGGGUUAGUCGGGACCUAAGGCGAACCCGAAAGGGACAGUCGAUGGACAACGGGUUAAUAUUCCCGUACUACUGUUAACUGUGAUGGGGUGACGGAGUGAUGAAAGUGCCGCGAACUGACGGAAUAGUUCGUUGAAGUACCUACCUAUAAGGCCCGCAGGCAAAUCCACGGGCUUUGGGGAAAUACGAUAGUACUCGGCGUCUUCGGACAAAGAGAUAGUGCACCUAAGGGCUUCCAAGAAAAACCUCUAAACUUCAGGUUAAUAGUACCCGUACCGCAAACCGACACAGGUAGUCGAGAUGAGAAUUCUAAGGUGCUCGAGAGAUUCAUGGCUAAGGAAUUAGGCAAAAUAGACCCGUAACUUCGGGAGAAGGGUCGCCAGCAGCAAUGCUGGCCGCAGUGAAGAGGUCCAGGCGACUGUUUAUCAAAAACACAGGGCUCUGCAAAAUCGUAAGAUGAAGUAUAGGGCCUGACACCUGCCCGGUGCUGGAAGGUUAAGAGGAGAUGUUAUCUUCGGAGAAGCAUUGAAUUGAAGCCCCAGUAAACGGCGGCCGUAACUAUAACGGUCCUAAGGUAGCGAAAUUCCUUGUCGGGUAAGUUCCGACCUGCACGAAUGGUGUAACGAUCUGGACACUGUCUCAGCCAUGAGCUCGGUGAAAUUGUAGUAACGGUGAAGAUGCCGUUUACCCGCAGUGGGACGAAAAGACCCUGUGCACCUUUACUAUAGCUUAGUAUUGACCUUGGAUAAAUGAUGUGUAGGAUAGGUUGGAGACUGUGAAGUGGCGUCGCUAGGCGUUGUGGAGUCAUUGUUGAAAUACAACCCUUUGUUUAUCUGAGGCCUAACCCCGUUUUACGGGGGACAUUGCUUGGUGGGUAGUUUGACUGGGGUGGUCGCCUCCAAAAGAGUAACGGAGGCUUCU